CUCUGUUGUUAAAGAAGAACACCUUUGAGAGUAACUGUUCAAGGGUUGACGGUAUUUAACCAGAAAGCCACGGCUAACUACGUGCCAGCAGCCGCGGUAAUACGUAGGUGGCAAGCGUUGUCCGGAUUUAUUGGGCGUAAAGCGAGCGCAGGCGGUUUUUUAAGUCUGAUGUGAAAGCCUUCGGCUUAACCGGAGAAGUGCAUCGGAAACUGGGAGACUUGAGUGCAGAAGAGGACAGUGGAACUCCAUGUGUAGCGGUGGAAUGCGUAGAUAUAUGGAAGAACACCAGUGGCGAAGGCGGCUGUCUAGUCUGUAACUGACGCUGAGGCUCGAAAGCAUGGGUAGCGAACAGGAUUAGAUACCCUGGUAGUCCAUGCCGUAAACGAUGAGUGCUAAGUGUUGGAGGGUUUCCGCCCUUCAGUGCUGCAGCUAACGCAUUAAGCACUCCGCCUGGGGAGUACGACCGCAAGGUUGAAACUCAAAGGAAUUGACGGGGGCCCGCACAAGCGGUGGAGCAUGUGGUUUAAUUCGAAGCUACGCGAAGAACCUUACCAGGUCUUGACAUCUUCUGCCAAUCUUAGAGAUAAGACGUUCCCUUCGGGGACAGAAUGACAGGUGGUGCAUGGUUGUCGUCAGCUCGUGUCGUGAGAUGUUGGGUUAAGUCCCGCAACGAGCGCAACCCUUAUUAUCAGUUGCCAGCAUUCAGUUGGGCACUCUGGUGAGACUGCCGGUGACAAACCGGAGGAAGGUGGGGAUGACGUCAAAUCAUCAUGCCCCUUAUGACCUGGGCUACACACGUGCUACAAUGGACGGUACAACGAGUUGCGAAGUCGUGAGGCUAAGCUAAUCUCUUAAAGCCGUUCUCAGUUCGGAUUGUAGGCUGCAACUCGCCUACAUGAAGUUGGAAUCGCUAGUAAUCGCGGAUCAGCAUGCCGCGGUGAAUACGUUCCCGGGCCUUGUACACACCGCCCGUCACACCAUGAGAGUUUGUAACACCCAAAGCCGGUGAGAUAACCUUCGGGAGUCAGCCGUCUAAGUGACAGAGUUGCU
rnacentral:rRNA from 1 species